UACGUAGGGGGCAAGCGUUGUCCGGAUUUAUUGGGCGUAAAGAGCGUGUAGGCGGCCAGGUAGGUCGGUUGUGAAAACUAGAGGCUCAACCUCUAGACGUCGACCGAAACCACUUGGCUAGAGUCCGGAAGAGGAGAGUGGAAUUCCUGGUGUAGCGGUGAAAUGCGCAGAUAUCAGGAAGAACACCCGGGGCGAAGGCGGCUCUCUGGGACGGUACUGACGCUGAGACGCGAAAGCGUGGGGAGCGAACAGG
rnacentral:rRNA from 1 species